rnacentral:rRNA from 1 species
GGGUCAGUAGGUUGGUCGUGCCACCGGUACGUACUGGUCUCACUGACUCCUCCUUCCUGAAGAACCGUAAUGCCAUUAAUUUGGUGUCGCGGGGAAACAGGACUGUUACUUUGAAAAAAUUAGAGUGUUUAAAGCAAGCUAACGCUUGAAUACAUUAGCAUGGAAUAAUGAAAUAGGACGAUCGAUCCUAUUUUGUUGGUUUCUAGGAUUGACGUA